GACGGAGGGUGCAAGCGUUGCUCGGAAUCACUGGGCGUAAAGCGCACGUAGGCGGAUUGUUAAGUCAGGGGUGAAAUCCUGGAGCUCAACUCCAGAACUGCCUUUGAUACUGGCGAUCUCGAGUCCGGGAGAGGUGAGUGGAACUGCGAGUGUAGAGGUGAAAUUCGUAGAUAUUCGCAAGAACACCAGUGGCGAAGGCGGCUCACUGGCCCGGUACUGACGCUGAGGUGCGAAAGCGUGGGGAGCAAACAGG
rnacentral:rRNA from 1 species